rnacentral:rRNA from 1 species
UACGUAGGGUGCAAGCGUUUGUCCGGAAUUAUUGGGCGUAAAGAGCGUGUAGGCGGCCCGGUUAGUCCGCUGUGAAAGUCCAGGGCUCAACCCUGGAAUGCCGGUGGAUACUGUCGGGCUAGAGUCCGGAAGGGGCGAGUGGAAUUCCUGGUGUAGCGGUGAAAUGCGCAGAUAUCAGGAGGAACACCAAUGGCGAAGGCAGCUCGCUGGGACGGUACUGACGCUGAGGCGCGAAAGCGUGGGGAGCAAACGGG